rnacentral:SRP_RNA from 1 species
AACCCCUGUUACCUGCACCAGACGGGAAUCCAGCUUUCUCUUGGGCGGCAAGGCCCUGCUGCAUCGGAGCCGCCUCGUUGUCCUGCUUGGACCGUCGUCCUGCGGGGCUGCGGGCAGUGAGC